GAUGAAGAACGCAGCGAAAUGCGAUAAGUAAUGUGAAUUCCAGAAUUCAGUGAAUCAUCGAAUCUUUGAACGCACAUUGCGCCCGCCAGCACUCUGGCGGGCAUGCCUGUUCGAGCGUCAUUUCAACCAUCAAGCCCCCAGGGGCUUGUGCUGGGGCCCUGCGGCUGCCCGCAGGCCCUGAAAACCAGUGGCGGGCUCGCUAGUCACACCGAGCGCAGUAGCACAUCUCGCUCAGGGCGUGCGGCGGGCUCCUGCCGUGAAACCCCCCACUGUAACCCCAAAGGUUGACCUCGGAUCAGGUAGGAAUACCCGCUGAACUUAAGCAUAUCAAUAAGCGGAGGA
rnacentral:misc_RNA from 1 species